UACUUAGUGGCAGACGGGUGAGUAACAUGUGGGUAUCUACCCUUUGGCCUGGAAUAACACGAGGAAACUUGUGCUAAUACCGGAUAAGUCUUUACGGAGAAAGCUUUAUGCACCAAUGGAUGAGCCCGCACUUGAUUAGUUUGUUGGUAGGGUAAUGGCCUACCAAGACUAUGAUCAAUAGCUGAUUUGAGAGGAUGAUCAGCCACAUUGGGACUGAGACACGGCCCAAACUCCUACGGGAGGCAGCAGUGGGGAAUCUUGCACAAUGGAGGAAACUCUGAUGCAGCGAUGCCGCGUGAGUGAAGAAGGCCUUUGGGUUGUAAAGCUCUUUCGUCGGGGAAGAAAAUGACUGUACCCGAAUAAGAAGGUCCGGCUAACUUCGUGCCAGCAGCCGCGGUAAUACGAAGGGACCUAGCGUAGUUCGGAAUUACUGGGCUUAAAGAGUUCGUAGGUGGUUGAAAAAGUUGGUGGUGAAAUCCCAGAGCUUAACUCUGGAACUGCCAUCAAAACUUUUCAGCUAGAGUAUGAUAGAGGAAAGCAGAAUUUCUAGUGUAGAGGUGAAAUUCGUAGAUAUUAGAAAGAAUACCAAUUGCGAAGGCAGCUUUCUGGAUCAUUACUGACACUGAGGAACGAAAGCAUGGGUAGCGAAGAGGAUUAGAUACCCUCGUAGUCCAUGCCGUAAACGAUGUGUGUUAGACGUUGGAAAUUUA
rnacentral:rRNA from 1 species